rnacentral:lncRNA from 1 species
UGGGGUUGGGACCCCCCCCUUAAGGACCCCCAUUGGGAUAUGGGGUUCAGAAUCCCCCCCCUUUAAGACCCCAAUAGGGCUCUCCCAUAGGGAUAUGGGGUUGGGACCCCCCCUUAAGGACCCCCAUAGGGAUAUGGGGUUGGGACCCCCCCUUAAGGACCCCCAUAAGACCCCCCUCCCAUCCCGUUAAGGACCCCUAUAACGAUAUGGGGGGUGGGACCCCCCUUUAGGACCCCCAUUGGGAUAUGGGGUUGGGACCCCCCUUUAAGGACCCCCAUAGGGGUAUGGGGUUCAAAAUCCCCCCCUUAUGACCCUAUAGGGCUCUCCCAUAGGGCCGUGGGGUUGGGAAUCCCCCUUAAAGACCCCCAUUGGGAUAUGGGGUGGGGACCCCCCCUUAAAGCCCCCUAUAGGGAUAUGAGGGUGUGGACACCCCCCCCUUUAGCGACCCUCAUUGGGACCCCCCCAUAAUUUCACCCCUAUAGGAACACAGGGAUCUGCCCCCCCCCCCCCCCCCCCAGUAGGAUCACAGCAAUGGGGACCCCUAUAGGGACCCCUAUAAGGAUAUGGGGUUGGGACCCCCCCUUAAAACCCCCACAGGGAGAUGGAGGUGUGGACCCCCCCCCAUAAUUGGACCCCUAUAGGGACACAGGGAUCUGACCCCCCCAAUAGGAUCACAGGAAUGGGGACCCCCCCCCCUUAAGGACCCCUAUAAAGAUAUGGGAUUGGGACCCCCC